rnacentral:rRNA from 1 species
UGGGGAAUAUUGCACAAUGGGCGCAAGCCUGAUGCAGCCAUGCCGCGUGUAUGAAGAAGGCCUUCGGGUUGUAAAGUACUUUCAGCGGGGAGGAAGGCGAUAAGGUUAAUAACCUUGUAGAUUGACGUUACCCGCAGAAGAAGCACCGGCUAACUCCGUGCCAGCAGCCGCGGUAAUACGGAGGGUGCAAGCGUUAAUCGGAAUUACUGGGCGUAAAGCGCACGCAGGCGGUCUGUCAAGUCGGAUGUGAAAUCCCCGGGCUCAACCUGGGAACUGCAUUCGAAACUGGCAGGCUAGAGUCUUGUAGAGGGGGGUAGAAUUCCAGGUGUAGCGGUGAAAUGCGUAGAGAUCUGGAGGAAUACCGGUGGCGAAGGCGGCCCCCUGGACAAAGACUGACGCUCAGGUGCGAAAGCGUGGGGAGCAAACA